rnacentral:rRNA from 1 species
CACGUAGGGGGCAAGCGUUGUCCGGAUUUAUUGGGCGUAAAGAGCGUGUAGGCGGCCAGACAGGUCAGCUGUGAAAACUCGAGGCUCAACCUCGAGACGUCGGUUGAAACCGUCUGGCUAGAGUCCGGAAGAGGAGAGUGGAAUUCCCGGUGUAGCGGUGAAAUGCGCAGAUAUCGGGAAGAACACCUAUGGCGAAGGCAGCUCUCUGGGACGGUACUGACGCUGAGACGCGAAAGCGUGGGGAGCGAACAGG